UACGGAGGGUGCAAGCGUUGCUCGGAAUUAUUGGGCGUAAAGGGUAGGUAGGUGGUCUUAUUUGUCUGGGGUGAAAGCCUUGAGCUUAACUCAAGAAGUGCCCCAGAAACGGUGAGACUAGAGUCCUGGAGAGGGUCGUGGAAUUCCCGGUGUAGCGGUGAAAUGCGUAGAGAUCGGGAGGAACACCAGAGGCGAAGGCGGCGACCUGGACAGGUACUGACGCUGAGGCGCGAAAGCGUGGGGAGCAAACGGGG
rnacentral:rRNA from 1 species